AUAGAUCUUCAAUGUACACGUUCUGACGCUCUAAAACAUGGCCGUAAUUGACUGAACCCCAAAAAUUUGCCAGUAAGGCGCAAGGAGAAUUACCAUGAAAAAAGGCUUCCUGGUCCAAAAGGCUGGUUAUCGUUUCGUGAGUCAAAUUUGUUAUCAGUGGUGCAUUGACUAGGGUCCAUGGAGCAAGCGGAUUAAGGAAUUUAGCGCCAUUUAUGGAAUUUGAAAGAUACUUUGGAGGAGGAACAGUUGAAAUUGUGGGAGAUCGCAUUAUAGUUGAAACUUCAUAAUUGUUUGGACCACAUAACAAUCGUCCCGAAUAAG